rnacentral:rRNA from 1 species
GGUGGCAAGCGUUGUCCGGAUUUACUGGGCGUAAAGAGCGCGCAGGCGGUCGGAUAAGUCGAAUGUGAAAGCCCCCGGCUCAACUGGGGAGGGUCAUUCGAUACUGUUCGACUCGAAGGCAGGAGAGGGAAGUGGAAUUCCCGGUGUAGUGGUGAAAUGCGUAGAUAUCGGGAGGAACACCAGUGGCGAAGGCGACUUCCUGGCCUGUUCUUGACGCUGAGGCGCGAAAGCUAGGGGAGCAAACGGG